rnacentral:sRNA from 1 species
CGUGGCGCAGUUGGUAAGACUGUUACCCAGGGUAGCACUGUUAGAUGUGCUGUAGGUUCGAAUCCUGCCGCUGGCAAGGUCCCUCGCGGCCACUUCUUACCCAUGAAGGCCCCCGUGACCAGGGGCCAAGCCUAGUGAGGCAGUGCUGACAGGGGUGCUUGGCAGUGAUGGGGGUGGUGGCCGCUGGAAGCCACCCUCAUUAGUGCCAAGCAGCUCUGUCACUAGUGCUGAGCUAAGCCAGAUCCGAUGAUUACAGAGGGUCGUGUAUAGGGUGCUUAUACAUACUAGUGCUAGCACCUGCCAAGGACCCCGGCAUCUAGGGGCCACCCCAACAACAGGGAAUGAUUUUAAAAACCAUCCGAUUGGUUAAGCCAAGCAGGACACCCUGGUAGGCGCCCUAUCCCCGGGGCCUACUAGUGGUCAUCUAACACUAUUAGUGGGUAAAACAUCGGGAGGGGUAAGCCUAUGGUUAGUCCCUUACACGGGGCAAGGCCACGACGGCUGGUUGGUAGGCCAAGGGGGCAAUGGGCCGAGAUCGGCAACUGGAAGCUCUAGGUGGUGAUGCCUAGGGUGGGCGGUGGCGCUUAACUAGGACCCCCAGCUGGAAGCCCCAGAACUAGUUAAAGCGGCCCGAGAGGACGGACGCGGUGGUCGGUUGGUUAUAGGGGUAUAUGUAACUAGCUUAAGGUGCAUCCUGCGUGGAAUAGCCACGUAGUCAACCAGCUAUAUGA